UGGUGGAGUGAUUUGUCUGGUUAAUUCCGUCAACGAGCGAGACCUCGACCUGCUAAAAAGUUUGGCGAAUUCCCUGUGGAUUUCGCACAUCACUUCUUAGAGAGACUGACUAUCGGUUCGCAGCCGGUGGAAGUUCGAGGCAAUAACA
rnacentral:rRNA from 1 species